GCCCGCACCGCCCGUCGUAGAACCCCCCUUCCCUAUACUACAAAGUUAUGAAUAAUUUUAUGCAUUUAGAUAUUCAUAUUGUAGUAUAAUGAGACUUUUUACUGAUGUAAUUUAACCUAAAGGUUACAAAUCGGUAUUUUAUUAAAUUAUAAUUAUAAGAUCGAAAGCUUUCGAAAAAUCGAGCAAAAAACCCUCACAGCGGUUUUUGAUGUACGAGGUUCAUAUAACAGGUGAUGAACGAAGGUUAAUAGGGCGUGAGUUGUCGAGGAGUUGUUUAAGGAACCAAAUUGUCGUCUAUCAAUCUUUUCCAUUAUAUACUCAAGUAGCCAAUCGGUAACAAACUG